UACGUAGGGUGCAAGCGUUGUCCGGAAUUAUUGGGCGUAAAGAGCUCGUAGGCGGUUUGUCGCGUCUGCUGUGAAAAUCCAGGGCUUAACCCUGGACCUGCAGUGGGUACGGGCAGACUAGAGUGCGGUAGGGGAGUUCGGAAUUCCUGGUGUAGCGGUGAAAUGCGCAGAUAUCAGGAGGAACACCGGUGGCGAAGGCGGCAUCCUGGACCGACACUGACGCUGAGGAGCGAAAGCCAGGGGAGCAAACGGG
rnacentral:rRNA from 1 species